rnacentral:rRNA from 1 species
GACGAACGCUGGCGGCGUGCUUAACACAUGCAAGUCGAACGGAAAGGCCCUGCUUUUGUGGGGUGCUCGAGUGGCGAACGGGAGAGUACCACGUGAGUAACCUGCCCUUGACUUUUGGAUAACUUCAGGAAACUGGGGCUAAUACCGGAUAGGAGCUCCUGCUGCAUGGUGGGGGUUGGAAAGUUUCGGCCGUUGGGGAUGGACUCGCGGCUUAUCAGCUUGUUGGUGGGGUAGUGGCUUACCAAGGCUUUGACGGGUAGCCGGCCUGAGAGGGUGAACGGCCACAUUGGGACUGAGGUACGGCCCAGACUCCUCCGGGAGGCAGCAGUGGGGAAUAUUGCACCAUGGGCGGAAGCCUGAUGCAGCAACGCCGCGUGCGGGAUGACGGCCUUCGGGUUGUAAACCGCUUUCGCCUGUGACGAAGCGUGAGUGACGGUAAUGGGUAAAGAAGCACCGGCUAACUACGUG